UAAGCCUCUCUGAGCUCAGCAAGGUAGGUUUGAGGGUUUCCUUCUCUCUCUAGAAUCUCUCUCUCUCUCUACAAAGAAAUCGACGCUUUCGCUUGUUUUCGUCGCUUUGCUUGUUCUUCGCUAGUUGCGAGUGUUGCGGAGCCCUUGUGAACGUGUGAGAGAGUACUUUGGAAGUCUUUUCGCAGCUCUGGACCAGUGAGCUGCUGGUUAGAGGCUUGAAGAGCUGAGAGAAAAAGGGGAUUUGCCGCUUUGACAGGAUCAGAUACUAUAGCUUAGCUCAGUUGGAACUGAGUUUAUGAUCUAAGAAGCAGCAGGUUUGGAAAUUGAUUCCAGCAGCUAGAGAGGAGUUAUCUAGCUGUGAUUUACCCAUUUCUAAUCUAGGGAAAGGCUGCUUUGAAGCUUGGUGAAGGUUUCCGAAUCACUCUGAGUUAAUUGGUGACCUUGGGAACGGGUUUGAAAAAUAUUUCAACUAAGGCGUGGGUGCAACCGACCUGUGAAUCAUCUUCAAUUGACAUUGGAGAGCCUUUAGAGGUUAAAUUGGAGCAAGGUUGAGGCCUAGUUGAGCUAAUUUCGGGACUCUUUUCGGCUGAAUCGAGCUUAGUGCUAGAGCCAUCUACAGGAGAGG